GACGAACGCUGGCGGCGUGCUUAACACAUGCAAGUCGAGCGAUGAAGCUCCUUCGGGAGUGGAUUAGCGGCGGACGGGUGAGUAACACGUGGGCAACCUGCCUUAUAGAGAGGAAUAGCCAUCCGAAAGGAUGAUAAAUACCCCAUAAUAUUUUAGUUUCGCAUGGAGCAACAAUCAAAGGAGCAACCCACUAUAAGAUGGGCGCGCGGCGCAUUAGCUAGUUGGUGGGGUAACGGCCCACCAAGGCGACGAUGCGUAGCCGACCUGCGAGGGUGAUCGGCCACAUUGGGACUGAGACACGGCCCAGACUCCUACGGGAGGCAGCAGUGGGAAAUAUUGCACAAUGGGGGAAACCCUGAUGCAGCAACGCCGCGUGAGUGAUGACGGCCUUCGGGUUGUAAAGCUCUGUCUUCAGGGACGAUAAUGACGGUACCUGAGGAGGAAGCCACGGCUAACUACGUGCCAGCCGCCGCCGUAA
rnacentral:rRNA from 1 species